AUGCCUUAAACUGAUGAGUAAGGAAAAUAACGAUGCGGGUGACGCCGUGUCCUCAUUCAUGAGAAGAAUUUUGAUUGGGUACAGGUCUGCCUGCUGAGGUGACUCAUCUACUUCAUGAGAUGCCUUGCAGAACCGGAUCUGCCCU